UCUCUGCACCAAUUACCUUUGAUGCCAAGUUCUCAGGAUGGCAGAGGUAGAUGGAACCAGGGGAUGAAGCCCAUGAGCAGGAAUCCUGCCACAUCUAACCCAAGCUGGAGCCUUUGAUCCUCUCUUUGAAUAUUUCCUUUGGGUAGGGGGAGAAUAAACCAUCUUGCAGAGCCAACUUGAGUUAGAGACCUAGAAAUUGGAAGAGUUGGAAGAGACCUUAGGCAUCGUCCCAUCCGACCCGACCCUUUGACUUGACAGAUGGGAAGACUGAGAUGCAGAAAGGAGAAAUGUAUUCCCCAAGGCUGCUCAGCUAGUUCGGUCAUGGAACAUCAAGCCCAAAGCACUAAAAGGGAACUUUCACCUUGCUAUUGGCCAUCUCCUGUUUCAAACUGCCAGCCUGGGCUGGGCCAUGAACAAGUUAACCAGCCAGGAAGCAUUCACUAGCUGACUACAACAUAUCAGGAUAAAAGUCACUACUUUUUUCAACUCAUCUGAUGGCAUCUGAUGACUUGAGGCUCUUCACUCCUUUGGUUUUCAUCUUCUGGCUGAGAUCUUGAGUUUCCAGGAUUUGCCAUCAUUACUCAGCUGCCUUCUCACCCUGGAACAAAACUUCCAUUAGACUAGCAGUUUUUCCCAAUGGUGAAUUCUUUCUGAGUGGAAGGAACUCUUCCUUCAUUUUGAGGAUAGGCC